rnacentral:rRNA from 1 species
CUGCCAGUAGUCAUAUGCUUGUCUUAAAGAUUAAGCCAUGCACGUCUAAGGAUAAAUAUUUUUUAACCGUAAACCUGCGGAUGGCUCAUUAAAUCAGUUACAAUCUACUCUAUUGUAUAAAUUACUUGGAUAACCGUAGUAAUUCUAGAGCUAAUACAUGCAAAAAAUUUGAACUCGCAAGGGAACAAAUGUAUUUAUUAAUAUGCAAAAAACGAGUUUCUGACCUAUUAACUUUCGAUGGUAAUUUAGUGGAUUACCAUGGUUUUCAUGGGUAACGGAGAAUUUGGGUUUGAUUCCGGAGAAAAGGCCUGAGAGACGGCCAUUACUUCCAAGGAAGGCAGCAGGCGCGUAAAUUACCCAAUCCCAAUUCGGGGAGGUAGUGACGAGAAAUACUAGUAUUGGUCCCAACGGGAACAAUGAUUGGAAUGAGAACAAUUUAAAAACAUUAACGACUAACAAUUGGAGGGCAAGUCUGGUGCCAGCAGCCGCGGUAACUCCAGCUCCAAGAGUGUAUAUUAAAGUUGUUGCGGUUAAAAAGCUCGUAGUUGGACUUGAGGGAUUUGUAUAAAGAGAUUCUAGUUUUAAAGCUAGAUAUUUCUGUAUAUUUUUUCCUUUCUUUUUAUUUUUUUUUAAAGAUUUGAGAAUCAUGACAUGUACAAUUGAAUAUUACAGCAUGGGAUAAUAGAAUAGGACAUUAACCUUAAUUUUGUUGGUUUUGAAGGUUAAUAGUAAUGAUUAAAAGGGAUAGUUGGGGUCACUUGUAUUUGAUCGCUAGGGGUGAAAUCCUAUGAUUGAUCAAAGACAAACUACUGCGAAAGCAUUUGACAAGGAUGUUUUCAUUGAUCAAGAACGAAAGUUAGGGGAUCGAAGAUGAUUAGAUACCGUCGUAGUCUUAACCAUAAACAAUGUCGACUUUGGAUUAGGAAAUAUUACAUGGAUGAUUUUCCUAGCACAAUAUGAGAAAUCAUAAGUAUUCAGACUCCGGGGGGAGUAUGGUCGCAAGAGUGAAACUUAAAGGAAUUGACGGAAGGGCACCACCAGGAGUGG